rnacentral:lncRNA from 1 species
GGAGGGAAGCAUAUCGAAAUCCCUACGGGUAGGGUAGCAUUCCAUGCAUGCGUAUUCUUUCGUGCAUGGAGUAGGGUAGGCCGAGGAGGAAGGUGGUAGAAGUGCUCCUACACUCGUAGAAAGAAAGAAAGGGUCGAUGAAGAAGAAGAGGAUGCAACGCGAGCAUGCAUGGAAAGUGAGGCCGGCUUUCAUGUUAAGUCAUGGCCCCCUCUUUGGAGGACAGCUUUGGCCAUGGGACGUUGCAUCAUCAUGCGGGGCCCCGGCGGCCAAUCAGGGAAUGUCUGUCAGCCAGCCCAAGGGUGGGUGUGGGUGGCCGGCCGGCGGGCCGAAAGGGAUCGGGGGGGUGUCCAUGGCGCCAGUGCCGCCUGUCUCCCCGUCCCGGCCGGCCAGCCGGGUGCCCGCCCGGGCAACGAGCGCGCGAGGAGGCUC